CCAACAUACUGCGGAAAUCGAGGCUUUGACACGGAUCUUAAACGGACGAAUGUCAAAUAUUAAACUAACUUAGCAAUGAUAUUGUAAGGAAGAGAGGAGAGAACACAUCAGUGUAUGGCGGAGGACAUUAAUGUGUUCCAGAAGCUUGAGAGUGGACGGACUCUGAGGGUUCUCCAUCAGAAUGGGACGGAGGGUCUGUGGAGACAUCCUGCCACAUCUUUGGAACUUCGACAGCUUUUGCGUCAAGCAAAUAGUC